rnacentral:rRNA from 1 species
GACGAACGCUGGCGGCGUGCUUAACACAUGCAAGUCGAACGGAAAGGCCCUGCUUUUGUGGGGUGCUCGAGUGGCGAACGGGUGAGUAACACGUGAGUAACCUGCCCUUGACUUUGGGAUAACUUCAGGAAACUGGGGCUAAUACCGGAUAGGAGCUCCUGCUGCAUGGUGGGGGUUGGAAAGUUUCGGCGGUUGGGGAUGGACUCGCGGCUUAUCAGCUUGUUGGUGGGGUAGUGGCUUACCAAGGCUUUGACGGGUAGCCGGCCUGAGAGGGUGACCGGGAAGAGGGGGAAUGGAAGACGGCAGAGGAGACGAAGGGAGGGAGGAGGGGGGAAUAUGGGACAAGGGGAGGAAGGUUGAAGAAGCAAGGCGGAGGGAGGGAUGAGGGCGUGAGGGGUGGAAAAAGAAAACGCCGGUGAAGAAGGGUGAGGGAAGGUAAGUGGUAAAGAAAAAACGGAGAAAGAAGG